GAGGUGUAGGAUAAUUUCAGGACUGCUUCUCUGACUCUGUAACAGAGCUUGCCCAAGGCCUCUGGAUACAAGGGAGGUAAAGACACUGACACCAAGAAAACAUGGGUAGGGGUAGAUGGGAGGACACAAAUAGAAGUCUUUCAGAAUUUGCAUUCAAUCAUUAUUGCACUGUAUAAAAAGAAGGAUAAGAAGAC
rnacentral:lncRNA from 1 species